AAUGUGCUCAACCAUAGAAAAAAAAAUACAAUCUUUUUUCCACUAGCAAGAUACAUACAAGAAAUAGAGAGAGAAAUUGAACCGAGUGAGUGAAACAAGAAGACAAGGGUUUAACUUAGGGUUUUCCUACUACCAUUGUUCUUCUUCUUUCUUUCUUUCAAUUCCAGGUGGGUAAUUCAUGAGCUUGCGUAUUCUCUCUUUAUUUUGAAUGUCCUUACAUCUUGUAACAAUACAUCAACAGAUGUCUUCUUGUUUAACCGGCGCCGGAAGGGCUGCCUAUGGACUAGACUUGGAGAUGAUGAUAGUUAAAUCACCAUCUUCAACAUCUUCAAGUACCCUUACUUCUCAUUCACCUACCCUUUCAGAAUCCGGAGCCAAUUCACCCUUUACAAUCUCCACCAGAAAACCAAGAACUCCCCGGAAAAGACCUAAUCAGACUUACAACGAGGCGGCGGCACUUCUCUCCACCGCCUAUCCAGGAAUUUUCUCAGCCAAACCCUGCAAAUUCACCAAACCUCCACAACAACAACAACAGCAAACCAUUCAUCCCUUUUUCUCAGGGAAUUCCAAUUCUGGAGAGUCGGAUUUACUGUUUCCAAAUAAUCCCCCCGCCGCCGCAGCCGCCACUGUUUCGGAGAAACCGAGGACGUUCUUACUACCGAAUGAUCCGUUUAGAUUCGACAAGAUGAUUCCAUCCAGUUCCAUCGAUGAGGAUUUUGAGACGGAAUCGAUGCUUGAUGGGGAAAUUGAACUGGGUAUCGACAGUAUAAUGGGGAUUAAUAAGAACGCCGGCGCCGGCUACGAUGAUAAUAAUAACGUUAGCGGUUGGUGUUAUGGAUAUCCAAUGGGUUGGGGAGUUGAGAGAGAAUCAUCUUCAAGUUCUAAUCUUGAAUGGGUAUUAGGUCAGAGAAACGGUGUCAGAGCAUUGAGGCAUGCCGCCGACGACGGAGAUUGGUGGCGAUAUCCUAGAGUAGAUGUAACCGAAAUCUCUCCUAAAUUCAGCAAAAUUCCGGCGCCGCCGGCGGGGGAGAAAAAGAAGAAGAACAAGGUUCUAAGCAAGAUUAAUCAACUGCCGCCGCCGCUGCCGCUGCUGCCGUUGCUACCGCCGGCGACGGAGGAGGAGAGACCAAAUCUGAUGAAUAAUAAUCAUGGUCUUGUUCUAAAACUAAACCAUGACAAGCUUUUGGCUGCUUGGUCGGACAGAGGGUCGCCGUUUUCCGACGAACCGCCUGGAAAUGAAAGCAAUCUGCAUGUAGGUGUGACCGGAAAAUCGGCCUCCUCCUCCUCCGGCCAGGUUGGCGCAAAUAGACUUAUUCUCAGAAAACAACGGAGGUAGAGAAGCGAGCGUUCUGCGUUACAAGGAAAAGCGACGGUCGCGUCUUUUCUUUAAGAAGAUCCGUUAUGAAGUUAGAAAAGUCAACGCAGAUCAACGGCCCAGAUUGAAGGGGAGAUUCGUGAGGAGACCAGGUUCACCCUUUAAUGUCGACGACGAGGAGUAGAUGUAGAGAUGAGAGAAUCAGAGUUUUAUUUAUUUAUUUAUUUAUUUUUAUUAAAGUUUUGUUUUGUUUUGUUUUAUUUUGUUAUGUAGUUAGACUGAUUUUAUUUUAUAUUUAUGAACAUUAUUGUCU